AUGUCUCUACUGUUAGGAGUGUUAUACUUCACUAUACUAACAUUACACCAGACAUUUAAUGUAUCUACUGUUAGGAGUGUUAUACUGCCAUUCACUAUACUAACAUUACACCAGACAUUUAAUGUAUCUACUGUUAGGAGUGUUAUACUGUCAUUCACUAUACUAACAUUACACCAUACAUUUAAUGUAUCUACUGUUAGGAGUGUUAUACUGUCAUUCACUAUACUAACAUUACACCAGACAUUUAAUGUAUCUACUGUUAGGAGUGUUAUACUGUCAUUCACUAUACUAACAUUACACCAGACAUUUAAUGUAUCUACUGUUAGGAGUGUUAUACUGUCAUUCACUAUACUAACAUUACACCAGACAUUUAAUGUAUCUACUGUUAGGAGUGUUAUACUGUCAUUCACUAUACUAACAUUACACCAGACAUUUAAUGUCUCUACUGUUAGGAGUGUUUUACUGUCAUUCACUAUACUAACAUUACACCAGACAUUUAAUGUAUCUACUGUUAGGAGUGUUAUACUGUCAUUCACUAUACUAACAUUACACCAUACAUUUAAUGUAUCUACUGUUAGGAGUGUUAUACUGUCAUUCACUAUACUAACAUUACACCAGACAUUUAAUGUCUCUACUGUUAGGAGUGUUUUACUGUCAUUCACUAUACUAACAUUACACCAGACAUUUAAUGUAUCUACUGUUAGGAGUGUUAUACUGUCAUUCACUAUACUAACAUUACACCAUACAUUUAAUGUCUCUACUGUUAGGAGUGUUUUACUGUCAUUCACUAUACUAACAUUACACCAGACAUUUAAUGUAUCUACUGUUAGGAGUGUUAUACUGUCAUUCACUAUACUAACAUUACACCAGACAUUUAAUGUAUCUACUGUUAGGAGUGUUAUACUGUCAUUCACUAUACUAACAUUACACCAGACAUUUAAUGUAUCUACUGUUAGGAGUGUUAUACUGUCAUUCACUAUACUAACAUUACACCAUACAUUUAAUGUCUCUACUGUUAGGAGUGUUUUACUGUCAUUCACUAUACUAACAUUACACCAGACAUUUAAUGUAUCUACUGUUAGGAGUGUUAUACUUCACUAUACUAACAUUACACCAGACAUUUAA
rnacentral:lncRNA from 1 species